AAGAGAAGAGAAAUGAGAGGACAGGAGAGGAACGGAAUGGAACGGAACAGAACAGAUUUACCCCAAUGGUGAAAGUCCUAUGAUCAUGCUGGGCAUCAUCUGCAGACCAUCAGACGUAGGAGAGCCAAAACAGACGGAAUGCAGUCUCCACUCUUCAUCUUCCAAGGGUAUCAGUGGUGACUUCCUCCUCCGAGCAAACAUUUACUGGGGCUCUUAGUGUUG